rnacentral:rRNA from 1 species
UACAGAGGAGGCGAGCGUUGUCCGGAAUCAUUGGGCGUAAAGAGCGCGCAGGCGGCUUGGCAAGUCGGGUGUGAAAUCCCGGGGCUCAACCCCGGGACUGCAUUCGAUACUGUCAGGCUAGAGGUAGGUAGGGGAGAUCGGAAUUCCUGGUGUAGCGGUGAAAUGCGCAGAUAUCAGGAGGAACACCGGUGGCGAAGGCGGAUCUCUGGGCCUUACCUGACGCUCAGGCGCGAAAGCUAGGGGAGCGAACAGG